rnacentral:rRNA from 1 species
UGGGGAAUUUUGGACAAUGGGCGAAAGCCUGAUCCAGCAAUGCCGCGUGUGUGAAGAAGGCCUUCGGGUUGUAAAGCACUUUUGUCCGGAAAGAAAUCCUUGGCUCUAAUACAGUCGGGGGAUGACGGUACCGGAAGAAUAAGCACCGGCUAACUACGUGCCAGCAGCCGCGGUAAUACGUAGGGUGCAAGCGUUAAUCGGAAUUACUGGGCGUAAAGCGUGCGCAGGCGGUUUGCUAAGACCGAUGUGAAAUCCCCGGGCUCAACCUGGGAACUGCAUUGGUGACUGGCAGGCUAGAGUAUGGCAGAGGGGGGUAGAAUUCCACGUGUAGCAGUGAAAUGCGUAGAGAUGUGGAGGAAUACCGAUGGCGAAGGCAGCCCCCUGGGCCAAAUACUGACGCUCAUGCACGAAAGCGUGGGGGAGCAAACAGGAUUAGAUACCCUGGUAGUCCACGCCCUAAACGAUGUCAACUAGUUGUUGGGGAUUCAUUUCCUUAGUAACGUAGCUAACGCGUGAAGUUGACCGCCUGGGGAGUACGGUCGCAAGAUUAAAACUCAAA